CCUGGUAUUUAUAUGAGCAACUCUCCAGAGUUAAAUUAGUCAUAUAUUUGGGGGGAAAGGUAAGAAUUUUACAAAUCACAGCCUUGUAGGAAACUCGCAGGCAAGGAUGACUUUUCAGACUCUACUGAGAAUCCACACUUUAAAAUAAAAAUGCUACCAUUAUACAUUCUUAAAACAUUUCUAUCAAAGACCUGCAUUAUAAUGCCUACUUUAGAGAUGAGGAAACUGAGGCCCAGUUCGCCCUAGGUGCUCAACACAAGUGACAUGGCAACAUGACAAGUUAGGUGACAGACAUAAGAGAUGAAAAUGACGACACUGGGCUCAGCUCUCUGUUCUCAGAAGUGUCUAGUCCAGUGAGGAGAGUACCUCAUGGAUUAAGAGAAUUCUUUUGGUGACAGAACAGAGGUAUGAAUCAAGUCAUAGAGGUAUAGAAGAGACAGAGUCUUCCUACAGUUGGGGUAGAGGAAGGGAGAGGAAUGGAUGAGGUAAAGCUAAAGGAAGCCGAUAUUGGAUUCGACUUUGAAGGAUGAAUAGUGCCAUGUGGACACGUCAGAGGACACAGCAUGUGCCACAACAUGGUGAUAUAAAAACAAAGCAUACUUUUCAGAACUAUGAAUGACUUAUGUCUGAAUCAAACAGAAGGAAGACCUCUGCCUCCUAGAGAGAUGAAGACACUAUCAAUGUGCAGCACCACUUGAAUUCUGGGUCAGCAAUAACCCUGCCACCAGACCAUAGAUGAUGAUGAAUUCCCUGGAGGCAUUUAACAAGAAUUUCUUCUGUUUGGAGAAUAAGAACACCUGCAAGCCAUGUUCAGUUUACAACUCCAUGGCUGUUCUUUGCCAUUCUCGAGGAGUUUCAUCCUAUGUAAGUUAUUAAUAAGUUACUAAUAUUACUAUGUGUAGUAAUACUAUAUAUAUAAUACGGUGUGUGCUGUUCAGCCAAAGUCAAGGGGCUCCUAAGUAGCGUUCUGAUGCAGUUUUGGAUGCUCCCUUCUUUCUGGCACUCUACCCUCAAACUGAAAUUACCUUAGUCUCUCCAACUUCUGAUCUCUGUCUCCUCAACUUAUCUAGACCAAUAUGUUUGCUUGGGAUUCCCAUCCUUGCACUUGAGUAUAGAAAAUGAUUCAGGGGGUGCCUGGGUGGCUCAGUCUGUUGAGCAUCUGACUUCAGCUCAGGUCAUGAUCUUGU